rnacentral:rRNA from 1 species
CGGCUUAGAGUUUGAUCAUGGCUCAGAUUGAACGCUGGCGGCAUGCUUUACACAUGCAAGUCGAACGGCAGCACGGGGAGCUUGCUCCCGGGUGGCGAGUGGCGCACGGGUGAGUAAUACAUCGGAACGUGUCCUCUUGUGGGGGAUAACAACCCGAAAGGGUUGCUAAUACCGCAUGAGACCUGAAGGUGAAAGCGGGGGAUCGCAAGACCUCGCGCAAGGGGAGCGGCCGAUGCCCGAUUAGCUGGUUGGUGAGGUAAAGGCUCACCAAGGCGACGAUCGGUAGCUGGUCUGAGAGGACGACCAGCCACACUGGGACUGAGACACGGCCCAGACUCCUACGGGAGGCAGCAGUGGGGAAUUUUGGACAAUGGGGGAAACCCUGAUCCAGCCAUGCCGCGUGCAGGAUGAAGGUCUUCGGAUUGUAAACUGCUUUUGUCAGGGACGAAAAGGUUUCGGUUAAUACCCGAAACUGCUGACGGUACCUGAAGAAUAAGCACCGGCUAACUACGUGCCAGCAGCCGCGGUAAUACGUAGGGUGCAAGCGUUAAUCGGAAUUACUGGGCGUAAAGCGUGCGCAGGCGGUUCAAGCC